AGUAUGGAUAAUACACAAAUAUUAUUUCCAUGCAGUCUCUUCCUUAACAAUUAGUGAUAGAAAUGUUAUGUAGGUUCCCCAUCUGGUUUCAUUUGCUUCUGUGAAAUGGACAGGAAAUGAUAUGUACACAUUCAUUGACAAGAGUUGGGGCCCAAAGAAGGAGACCAUAUGGCUUUGUAUAUUUCUCUUAAAUUUCUACAGUCCAAAAUAUAAAAAUAAUAGAUAAAAAUUGGUGAAUAUUUUUUAUUUAUUAUUAUAUAUAUCUAAUAUUUAAGAUUUAGGUAAUUAAUAGUAUAAUUAGGGAAACAUUUCAAGGAAUCAAACAACUCCUCAAACAACCCCAACACUGGUCAGAUUCAAAAUUUGAACUUGCAGACAUUACAAGAAAAGAUGUCUUAUUUAUCUUGACCAAAAUAUGAAUUUUACCAUGGAUGUAGAGUUGUGGCCUAAAAAGAGCCAAAGUAUUCUAUUAACAUUAAAAAGUGCAGAUGUAUUAUUCUGAUGACAUAUGACUUGGAUUUGUGAAGAUUGAUGUUUUCAUAUAUUUUGGAUUAAAUCUUCUGAACUGCAUGGUGAAACAAAAGACAAUUGUUUUGUGAUAGGACUGAAGAAUGGACACAUUCAAUCAGACUUGGAGCAUCAUACGAAAGAAAUGGAAAGUUGUCCACUAGGUCAUCAACCAUCUGCCGAAGCCAAGAAAGGAACACAAGACAAGAUAGAUGUCAGAUAGCAAUAAUGACCUUUGAACAUUUCCAAAAUGUUUAACUUUACAUUAAAACAUAGUCUAAUUUUAA